rnacentral:ncRNA from 1 species
UCAUUCACGACGGGAGAACCGGAUAUCCGGUGCCGAAGGCGCAACCGCCCCGGAAACGCUCAGGCCACAGGACCGCCGUGAGGCA